UGUGUUAUAAAUUAAAGCACCAUCUAUAAUCCUAAUAGCACCCUUUUCACCAAGAUGGCUUUGAAUGCUUAGGACAUCCCUGUCCUUCUCAAAGGUGAAACCAAAAGGUCAAGAAGAUCAGGGAGACAGUCAUUAGAGGUUUCUGCAGUCCCAGUAAAGAAGACCUGUACGUCACCUACAUUCUGGCAGCCACAGACCUCGUGGUUCUGGACAGAUCCUGUAUAAAUUUGGAAUCGGGUCCCUAGGAGAAAGACAUCUGGCCCUACUUUGUUGUCAAGCUCUCCUAAUCACCAAAUCUACCACGAGGAAGACGGAUGACAUCACACUGCUGUUUGAUGUGGAGGUCAAGGCCAACAGGCGCUAGAUGAAACAGGCUGGGAGGAAGCUCUGUGGCACAGAAGCAACAGCCAGCACCCUGGGGAGCCUGGUACACAGCAAAAGGCAGAUCCAGCCCCAUCAGCUCCUGCUCCUCCAGGUUCUAUUUACCACUGAGGAAAGAGAGAAUCUGAUGAGAAUGCUGCAAGCUGGUCCCAGGGCAAGAUGGUUGCGCCAAGGAUGAUGAGACGACUAUUAAUACUACCUUCCCCACUUCCGGACCUGACAAGGGAUGGGACUAAACACAACUGAAGUGACCUUGCUGCCUAACCCAGAUUCCGACAUCAUCCAUGACUGCAUAGAGGUACUGCAGCAAGUGCAUGGAAUCUGACCAGAAUCGACUAACACCCCCUGGCUGGAUCCAGGCCUCACACACUUCAGGGAUGGCAGCAGCUUCAUCCAGGAAGGAACCAGGUAUGCAGGGAAUAGUGACAUUCUCAGAGACUAUCUGGGCCACAGACUUGCCCUCUUUCACCUCAGCACAAAAGGCUGAACUGACUUCCCUAACCAAGACAAUUAGGAAAAGACAAAACUAUCAAUGCUUAUUCGGACCGCCGUAUGCUUUUGCCAUGGUGUAGGUGGAAGAUUCUCCGUCCUGCCCAGCCCAGCAGGCCAGAUGAAUCUCUCCCACUUGUGGUCCCACAACCACUUACAAAAUAAUUAUUCAGUUAUAAAACUGUUUGGUCUAUGGCUCAGUCUUCUUGAUACCUAGGUUUUUCAUCUUAAAUUAACCUAUUUCUAUUAAUCUGUGUAUCGCCAUGUGUCUCAUGGCUUACUUGUACUUACAUCUUGCUCCUCUGGGCAGGUUGCAGCAUCCUUGAAAGAUGCAUUGCUUUGGAGAAGCUGUUUUGCUUUUGUUUCUACAGGAAACAAGAGGUUGUCGAUUCGUUCCAGGUUAAUAUGGAUCAGAUAUGGUCAAGGGAGACCUCCUGAAACUUGACAGGUGAUAUCUGUCAACAAAAGUUACUGAUGGUCUUCAGAGGACUUGGUCAUUACCUCAAAAUUUUCUCAGGGACUCCUGGGAUGCCUUCGCCCAAGGCCAACAAGAGGCAGUAUGGAGAAAACUAUGCCCACAUUCCCAAGAGCUGGGGUGUGGGUGGUCUUCAGUUAUUUGGUGGGUUAUGGAUGUUUGUCUUUGUUUAAAAUGUUGGU